rnacentral:lncRNA from 1 species
GCACAGUACCGGGGGCGGGCCGAGCAACGCAGCCGGGACGGUAGCUGCAUCGCAGAGCGGAGGAGCCAUCUUGUCUUGUCGCCGGGGAGUCAGGCCCCUAACUCGAAGAAGCCCUGGCGCGCCCUCCCCCCCUCCCCGGUCUGGUAGGGCGAAGGAGCGGGCGUGCGGUCGAUCGAGCGAUCGGUUGGCGGCUCUUUCUCCUGCUCUGGCAUCCAGCUCUUGGGGCGCAGGCCCGGCCGCCGCGGCGCGCGCCCGGUGGCCGUUGGCGCUCGCGCCGUGUCUUUCUUCUCGUACGCAGAACUCGGGCGGCGGCCUAUGCCUUUGCGAUCCGACGAGGGGUCGUCCGGGUGGUUGGCGGCGGCGGGCAACUGCUCCGCCCCGC